UCUAGGCAACAGAAGAAACCCUCGGUUACAUUAGUACACAAACAUCUGACCGGAAGUUGUUGGUACGACCCGUAAUACCGUCCGUCCCCGGAACUAACGUUAACUGUUUGUGUGUUACAUCGUGGUGAGGACGGCGGAGUAAAAGGCGCCAGUCUUUAGUUUCCUAAGAAGAAAGAAACUGCUGGAUGUGGUUUUAAAAGCUGAAACGAAGCUACACAGAGCAGGUCGGGGAGAAGAGGAGCAGAGCCGCGAGGAACUUUAACAUGAAGUCUGAGAGGAAGCUGUCAGCGUACCAGGGGACAGCUUUACCUCAAGAUGUCCUGGAAGUGAUUGUUGGUGAAGAGGAGCAGCAGGAGUGUAGCUCCAGUGUGGACCAGCAGGAGCCAGAGCCCCCCCCACACAUUAAAGAGGAA